rnacentral:rRNA from 1 species
UGGGGAAUUUUGGACAAUGGGGGAAACCCUGAUCCAGCCAUCCCGCGUGUGCGAUGAAGGCCUUCGGGUUGUAAAGCACUUUUUGCAGGAAAGAAACGUCAUGGGUUAAUACCCCGUGAAACUGACGGUACCUGCAGAAUAAGCACCGGCUAACUACGUGCCAGCAGCCGCGGUAAUACGUAGGGUGCAAGCGUUAAUCGGAAUUACUGGGCGUAAAGCGUGCGCAGGCGGUUCGGAAAGAAAGAUGUGAAAUCCCAGAGCUCAACUUUGAAACUGCAUUUUUAACUACCGGGCUGGAGUGUGUCAGAGGGGGGUGGAAUUCCGCGUGUAGCGGUGAAAUGCGUAGAUAUGCGGAGGAACACCGAUGGCGAAGGCAGCCUCCUGGGAUAACACUGACGCUCAUGCACGAAGGCGUGGGGAGCAAACAGG